rnacentral:piRNA from 1 species
UGAAACCAGCUGCAGGUGA